UACGUAGGGUGCAGGCGUUAAUCGGAAUUACUGGGCGUAAAGCGUGCGCAGGCGGUGAUGUAAGACAGGUGUGAAAUCCCCGGGCUUAACCUGGGAAUGGCAUUUGGGGACUGCAAGGCUUGAGUGCGGCAGAGGAGACUGGAAUUCCUGGUGUAGCAGUGAAAUGCGCAGAUAUCAGGAGGAACACCGGUGGCGAAGGCGGUUACCUGGAGCUUUGCUGACGCUGAUGCGCGAAAGCGUGGGGGAGCGAUCCGG
rnacentral:rRNA from 1 species